GAUACGCUUGGAGUCGACUCGUGAUACUCUAGAGUCGACUCGAGUCUCAGACUUUGGUUCAAGCUGACUUCUUAACUUAUCCAAAAAUUAUGAACCAAGUCUUGAGACACUUAGACAAGAUUUUCACUGAAACACUUAAUUGAAUUCAUUAGUAAACAAGAAAUAUACUCAAAGGCUUUGAUCUCAUCAAAAUCAAAUAGGGUUUUAAUCAAUCACUCCACAAUCUCCCCCUUUUUGAUGAUGACAAAACAUUGAGUAUAUGUAAAGUGAAUUGCACAAUAAACAAUGAAAUAAAAUCCAUAAAUGAAUUCAAAUGUGUGGUAAUUCAAUUUAUCCAAGCUUGAAAGGAGUGAAACAAUAAAUUUCGGAGUUAAAGCUCCCCCUUUCAUUUGGAAUUAUAUAAGCCUUCAUAUUAUACAAUCAAUUGUUUGGUUAUAUGUCAUUAAUGAUUUUGCUUGAUUAAAAUUCAAAUUCUCCGCCUCAACAUAUGUAUUCUACUAUGUUUUGAUUCUUUGAAUUUCCUUUUAAUGCUUUGAAGUUUUUGAACUGAAUUUUUUUGGUUUUUAGAG
rnacentral:lncRNA from 1 species